UUGGUACUCCCUCCGUCCGGAAAUACUUGUCAUCAAAAUAAAUAAAAAGGGAUGUAUCUAGAUGUAUUUUAGUUCUAAAUACAUCCCUUUUUGUCCAUUUUGAUGACAAGUAUUUUCGGACGGAGGGAGUAUUUG
rnacentral:pre_miRNA from 1 species